GUUACGGAGGACAUCAACCCACACAAAUUCGCAACGGUCAUCAAGUUCGAUAAUCAACCAAAGGUAUCAUCCGGUCACAUCGCAUAAGUCCACAUCACCACCAAAGUCCAACCCCAGGCGGAGCCACGGCAAGUGCACCAAACGACGACGUAGCAAAUCGACCUAGCAACAGACGGACCCCGGACGACGGAAGUAUGCAGAGUAUGCAAACUGGACUAUAAACGUAGGUCAGCAGAGUAGGGCAAGUGUAGGUUUCAUUAUAGCAUUAAUUAGACAAUAAAUUCAUUCUUUGUUCAAUCGUGGAAGUGAUAAGUUUAAUUCUUUUU